AGAUGUCUUGAGGCCUUCCAGACCUUGCUCCACCUCCACCACCAGGUCUCCAGUCCUGAGCCACAUGCUGCCAUUUUUGUCUCAGAAGCACCCCUCUUCCAGGUGGAAGAUUGAAGGUCUGAAGAGUGGGAAGUCCCAGGAACAGGCAAUUCCAGGAAGAUAUGAGGAAAAUCAAGAAAGAGAAGGAAACUGAAGCUAGUGGGAAGUGCUUCAAGUUGGAGAUGAUGCUGAGAUGGCCAAAAAGUGAGAGGUGGAAAACAUUUGGAGUGAGUUAAGGAGAGAACGCGAGGCAAGGAAGUGAAGCUGAGUGAGUUGGGGAGUGGGGUGCAGGGGCCUUUGGCCACCCCAGGCUCUUUCUAUGUGAACAUUCUGAGACUGAUUCUGAUUUUUUUCCCCUCCCAAAUUGCUCUCUUUUCCUUUCUUCACCUACUUACUCCCUGGUCAUCCUUCCUUUGGGUCAGUGAAGUUGCUGAUUCUUUAGGGAACACUUCUCUGAUUGCUGAAGCUAAUAGUCUCUCCCUGCGGUUGCCGGUUGUUUCCAAUAGUUGACUAGUUUUCUUCCCCAGCACUUACGAGUACACAGCCAGUCACUCUGGUUGCUCACUGUCUUCCUUCUUCCUUGACUGUCAGCUCACAGGAAUGCAGGGCCCUUACUUGUUUUACUCACCACUGCAUCCCAAGGAUAUAGCAGAGUGCCUGGCACACGGUAGGUGCUGAAU
rnacentral:lncRNA from 10 species